AGAUGAAAUAUAGGAGGAUAGGGUCACCGCUAAGCCGAAUCCUGUACGGCUCCUCUACCACUCCGUCACUUAUAUUAAGCCUCUUCCUCAUUUUAAUGGCGACUCGUUUUUCGCUAUCUCGUUCAGCUCGCCUUUGCUUAAGACCCACUUCUACUUUUUCACGUUUAUCUACCAAAAACCUACUUCAGUGUCCGUCUUGUCCCCUCUGGUCAUCCUCUUUCUCUCUCUGUCUUCACACUUUCCGCAAGUCAACUUCUCCCGGUAAAUCCAUCACCGUCCGAUCAUUUUCUCCAUCGUCGGCAUCCAUUUCCGACCAUCCUUCUAAAAUGUCGAUGGCUUCUGAUGACAAUCCUUUGUUGAAGGACUUUGAUUUCCCACCAUUCGAUGUAAUCGAAGCCAAGCACGUCCGUCCUGGAAUUCGUGCCUUGCUUAACAAAAUAGAGGAGGAAUUGAGCGCUUUGGAGAAGAGUGUGGAGCCUACCUGGCCCAAGCUGGCGGAGCCAUUGGAGAAGAUCAUUGAUAGAUUGACGGUUGUUUGGGGUGCGGUGAAUCAUCUCAAGUCCGUCAAAGAUAAUCCUGAACUUCGUUCCGCUCUUGAAGAAGUUCAGCCAGAAAAAGUUGCUUUUCAGCUUAAAUUGGGUCAGAGUAAGCCAAUCUAUAAUGCAUUCAAAGCCAUCCGAGAGUCACCUGAGUGGGACUCUUUGAGUGAUGCUCGUAAACGAAUAGUUGAAUCGCAAAUAAAGGAGGCUGUACUUAGUGGUAUCGCUCUUGAGGAUGAUCAAAGAGAGCAAUUUAACAAGAUUGAACAGGAUUUAGCAAAGCUAUCUCAGAAAUUUGAUGAAAAUGUUUUAGAUUCCACCAAGAAGUUUGAAAAAUUAAUAAUAGAUAAGAAGGAUAUUGACGGAUUACCUGCCACAUCUCUUGGUUUGGCUGCACAGACAGCAGUGUCUAAGGGGCACGAAAAUGCUACUGCAGAAGACGGGCCAUGGAUCAUCACAUUGGAUGCGCCAAGUUAUAUGUCUGUGAUUCAACAUGCAAAGAAUAGAACUCUUAGAGAAGAGGUGUACCGUGCUUGUAUAAAUCGUGCUUCUAGUGGAGACCUUGAUAACACUGAGAUAAUUAACCAAAUUCUAAAGCUUAGAUUGGAAAAGGCUAAGCUCCUUGGAUACAAUAACUAUGCUGAGGUAAGCAUGGCGAUGAAAAUGGCCACUGUUGAAAAAGCCGAAGAGCUUUUAGAAAAGCUUCGUAGUGCUUCUUGGGAUCCUGCAGUUAAAGAUUUGGAAGACUUGAAAGAUUUCUGUAAAAGUCAAGGUUCUCCAGAAGCUGAUGAUCUGAACCAUUGGGAUAUUACGUUCUGGAGUGAGAGGCUUCGUGAAUCUAAGUAUGAGCUAAACGAGGAAGAACUGCGCCCAUACUUUUCGUUGCCUAGAGUUAUGGAUGGUCUUUUUAACCUUGUAAAGAUGCUGUUUGAUAUCAAUGUUGAGCCAGCUGAUGGAUUAGCUCCAGUUUGGAACAAUGAUGUCCGGUUUUACCGUGUGAAUGAUUCCUCUGGAAGUCCUAUUGCCUACUUCUAUUUUGAUCCAUACUCUCGUCCAUCUGAGAAACGUGGCGGUGCUUGGAUGGAUGAAGUUGUUAGCCGAAGCCGUGUAUUAUCACGAGAUGGUUCGAAUGCUAGAUUGCCUGUUGCACACAUGGUUUGUAAUCAGAUGCCACCAGUUGGGGAUAAACCCAGCCUAAUGACAUUCCGUGAGGUUGAGACUGUCUUCCAUGAAUUUGGACAUGCCCUUCAGCAUAUGCUAACUAAGCAGGAUGAGGGUUUGGUUGCUGGCAUAAGGGGUGUAGAGUGGGAUGCUGUGGAAUUGCCAUCACAAUUCAUGGAGAAUUGGUGCUAUCACAGGGAUACUCUGAUGGGUAUUGCUAAGCAUCAUGAAACUGGAGAGACACUCCCAGAAGACAUAUACAAGAAGCUUCUUGCUGCUAAAACUUUCCGUGCUGGUACCUUAAGUCUUCGGCAGUUGAGAUUUGCUACAGUUGAUCUUGAGUUACAUGCAAAAUAUGUUCCGGGUGGUUCGGAAUCAAUCUAUUGUGUUGACCGACGGGUCUCUAAGAAAACCCAAGUGCUUCCUCCACUCCCAGACGAUAAGUUCCUUGCCAGUUUCAGUCACAUUUUUGCUGGUGGAUAUGCUGCUGGAUACUACAGUUACAAGUGGGCAGAGGUUUUGUCUGCAGAUGCUUUCUCUGCUUUUGAAGAUGUUGGACUAGAGAAUGAGAAGGCUGUAAAAGAAACAGGCCAGAGAUUCAGGGAGACUGUUCUUGCUCUUGGCGGUGGAAAGGCUCCACUGGAGGUUUUCGUGCAAUUUAGAGGACGGGAACCUUCUCCAGAACCGCUGCUUAGGCAUAAUGGCCUACUUACCUCUUCUGCAUGAAGAUUGUUGUAGAACCAUUAGAGACAAUUGCAACUGUAUUUGUUUUCAAGUUAUUAUAAAGAAUUCACUUUAGAACAAAGCAUUGCUACUGAUUUCUCGUCUCCCUUUAUGCCAUUUUGAGAUCAUCAUAUGCCAUAUAUAGAUUUAGCAAGGAAACAAGUUCAUUUGAAAAAUCAGUAACAGAUACGAAGGAAAUUGAGGGAUUGCCUGCCACCUCUCUUGGUUUGACUUCACAUUGAAGCUCUCUUUGUGGGUGUUCGACAACUAAAUUAACAUUGAUUUCUCUUUUGUGUUCUCUUUGCUGCCUGUAACUGAUAACAGGGGCACAAAAAUGCUACUGCAGAAGUCGGGCCAUGGAUGAUUACAUUUUGGAUUUAUACAGAUUCACAAAUACCGACUUCUGUUGGCUUUACUAUUUCUGCAAAAACCACGGUAAAAAACUAUGAAUCCUACCACUUAUGUCUCAGAGCAGGAGUUUAUCUUGUUUUGAGAGCGGCCGGCGUCAAAUCAGAAGGAAAAUUUAGUAACAUGUCAACUUUCAUUGUUCCCCAAAGUCUGGGAACUUGAAUCUGUGUAUCAUUUUAGGAUUUAUCUUAAUGGUUUUUGAUUUUAUCAGAAGAAUUGUAUGUUUGAUCACAAAUUUCACUUGCAUGUAAACAUUGUCAGUCUUGUGAUUUGGUGUAGUUAACUAUUUGAACGUCAAGCCUAGUGAUUUAGUCUUCUUGUUAAACCUUAA